CCGCAUGAGUCAUUUUUCAGACUACUUCCCUCCCCAGAGGACUGCAGACGGGCAGGAGUCCAACAAAGGACAGGCAGCUGGGCCAAGCUUGGCAGUCGCAGCCCUCCGCAGGGCUGCUCCCGGGAGGAGCUGCUCCCUCCCGCAGGAUGCGCGCAGCUCAGCGGGGUGAACCCCGUGCACGCUGCACUGGCAGGACACAGUCGAGUCCAGCCCGCGGGGCUUGUUCCACAGAACUGGCAAGAAAUAUGGAUCAACAUCACCAUCUGAAUGGCUGUUCACUAUUGCACUGUGGGAUGCAAGCUGACCUCUUUAACAGAUAAUAAAUAAUGUCUUUGUCUUCCCA